rnacentral:lncRNA from 1 species
UCCAUCUCGCCCCAUGGGCUAGAAGAGUCCAAGCACAUGAAGACCAACAGCUUCGUUGUUUCCACAAGAUCUACUAGCUCCACGGUCAUCAUGUUGGAGCGUUCCUGCUUCCACCAAAUCUGUGAGUUCUCCAUCAUGUGGAAGUAGAGAUCGGAGUGGAGACAGCGACCAGCUAGGAUGGCUCGCGGAUCUCUGCCAUCUAGCAGCAGCCGUGAGCGCUCCGACGCACGCUGGAGUGGCACACUCUGUAGGCAACAGCAUGCUGCAACGGGUUCAUCCCACUCAUCAGGUACUAUGAAUGAGUUUGGUUUGGGGAUUUGUCUAUCUGCAAACAGACUCUCUAAUUUUUUUAUCUGUUUCUUAGUUGAUUUAGGUAACAGUGGGAGCAAGUGAAUGCGGUGGGGAAAGGGGAAGGUUAGAGAAGUGGGAAAUUUCAUGAUAAUUUCUAAAUUAAAAUUAGUAGAUGACGAGUGGUACAAUAUAAUGUUGAAAUGUUACUCCUUGAGAUACAGAUAGUCAUUACUCUCGUAUUUGUAUUACUAACAUCUUUGCCCAUGUUUAGUUAUGACUUAGUGAUGCAGUUAUGCAAUUCUGCAAUCAGUUUGCAAUUCCACAAUCAGUUAUAUAUAAUGUAUCCUAUACCCAUUGUUCUGUUAGGCUCUGUUUUGACACUGACGAUACACUUGAUCCUGGAGGAUUUGUAUUCUGAUCUGAUUUACUUGCAAACAAGUGUAUGCAACCAACUUUGAUUUUUGAUUUAUCAAGUCCUUCGCCGGUUCUGCCGAUGUCAUGUAACUUGUGAAAUGAUUGUUUUUGCAUUGCAGUGCAUUAUGCUUCUGUGGCACUCCAGGAAGGGAUGUUUCUUUCAAGAUAUACUUCAUUAUCUUAAAGAAUGUAAUGAUCGAUAUAUUCCAGGAGUGUUGACACCAGUUUAAGUAUGUCACUUGAUGUGUGAACUUCCAUCAAAUUCAGGUAAUAAAGUACAUCUAAGUUAUGCGGACAUAUUUUUUUCUGACAUAUUUGCUUUCUGGCAUUCACAGUUUUUAUCUGCUUGCAAUGCUACUGCAAAAGUUGUCAAGAUUUCAUAGCUACACAACUUCUCAUAUGCACAUGUUUCAUAGGUACACAGAUACUUCUCUUGGCAUGUUUACUUCAACAAUAAGUUAACAUAACACCUCUAUAGAUAUUCUUUUGUUCGCAUUAUGUUGAAAAAACAAUUUUAUCUGUAGUUUUGAUCCCC